rnacentral:misc_RNA from 1 species
CGCACAUUGCGCCCAUUAGUAUUCUAGUGGGCAUGCCUGUUCGAGCGUCAUUUCAACCCUUAAGCCUCUGUUGCUUAGUGUUGGGAGUCUACGAUGGCGUAGCUCCUCAAAAUCAGUGGCGGAGUCGGUUCACACUCUAGACGUAGUACAUUUUAUCUCGCCUGUGAGUUGGACCGGUCCCCUGCCGUAAAACCCCUAAUUUUUAAAGGUUGACCUCGGAUCAGGUAGGAAUACCCGCUGAACUUAA